rnacentral:rRNA from 1 species
GACGAACGCUGGCGGCGUGCUUAACACAUGCAAGUCGAACGGAAAGGCCCUGCUUUUGUGGGGUGCUCGAGUGGCGAACGGGUGAGUAACACGUGAGUAACCUGCCCUUGACUUUGGGAUAACUUCAGGAAACUGGGGCUAAUACCGGAUAGGAGCUCCUGCUGCAUGGUGGGGGUUGGAAAGUUUCGGCGGUUGGGGAUGGACUCGCGGCUUAUCAGCUUGUUGGUGGGGUAGUGGCUUACCAAGGCUUUGACGGGUAGCCGGCCUGAGAGGGUGACCGGCCACAUUGGGACUGAGAUGCGGCCCAGACUCCUACGGGAGGCAGCAGAGGAGAAUAUUGCACAAUGGGAGGAAGCCUGAUGCAGCAACGCCGCGUGCGGGAUGACGGCCUUCGGGUUGGAAACCGCUUUCGCCUGUGACGAAGCGUGAGUGACGGUAAUGGGUAAAGAAGCACCGGCUAACUACGUG